UCGGGAAUUUUGGGCAAUGGGGGAAACCCUGACCCAGCAACGCCGCGUGAAGGAUGAAGUAUUUCGGUAUGUAAACUUCGAAAGAAUAGGAAGAAUAAAUGACGGUACUAUUUAUAAGGUCCGGCUAACUACGUGCCAGCAGCCGCGGUAAUACGUAGGGACCAAGCGUUGUUCGGAUUUACUGGGCGUAAAGGGCGCGUAGGCGGCAUGACAAGUCACUUGUGAAAUCUCUGGGCUUAACCCAGAACGGCCAAGUGAAACUGUCAUGCUAGAGUGCAGAAGGGGCAAUCGGAAUUCUUGGUGUAGCGGUGAAAUGCGUAGAUAUCAAGAGGAACACCCGAGGUGAAGACGGGUUGCUGGGCUGACACUGACGCUGAGGCGCGAAAGCCAGGGGAGCAAACGGGAUUAGAUACCCAGGUAGUCCCUGAGCGGGCUGGCAAGGCGCAU
rnacentral:rRNA from 1 species